AUUCCUAAGGCGCUCUGUGCAGCUAGCGUGCGGGUGCUCCAGGGAGAAGAGGAUGAGUGGGGAGAGAAUGGGAAGGCAGGGAGGAGAGCAGGGAGCCGGAGCCUCCCUGCCCUUUUCCAGAUCUCCUUGCAAUAGCCGCCCGGGCUGGGGCUUCUGGGGGAACUCUGGCACCUGCUCCAUCCAAGUUGGGAGGUAAGUAAGCUACGAAGGGAAGAGGAGGUGUCCUCUGAGCCACCACCGCCGCCCGGGGGGCCGCCAUCAGCCAAGCCUCUGCACACCCGCCUGCUGCGAGGCAGUCUGGCCUGGACAUCUGAAGCUCGUUAGCGGCCUGCUCCCGGGGGGCUGACCCUGCUUGGCGAGAGUUAUCCCAGACACAGCCGCAGAGGAUGGAGCCAACGAAGACCAGGUGAGGUGUGGCCACAGACGGGGGAACACAGUCUCUGGAGUGGCCUCUGGGGACCCCUGGAGAGCAGAGGAGGCUGAGAGAACGCACCGAGCCUGGGCCCAGCUCCAGCCCAUCCACUGGCUCCCAGCUUUGCAAACUGGAGAUGGGGGGUGGGAGGGGACCCCUUUCCCUCUUUGGACCUCUGUUUCCCCAUGUGUGCCUUGGAGGAGGGGCAAACAUGGCAGACGCUGAGGACCUUCCAGCCCUGACACUGUGGGGUCUCAGCCUGGCCUAGAAUUCCCAGCCUCUGAGGUUUAGCCCAGAGCUGGUGAGUGAGGGCUGGUGGGUGGAAGACAAUUCAGGGAUGGAGAGCCAUGAUGCCUGCCUCAGGCCUGAAGAUCAGAGGGGAGCCCAUCUCCAGAAAGUGAUGUCGCAUUUCAGAACAGUCAGGGAGGUGCCCUCUCGGUAUCCGUAGGUGGCAGAGACGGCGUGAGCUGAGCCUCCUGGAUGCAGGGGCUCCCACUGGACCGAUGGCCAAGUUCAAGACCCUCCUCCCUUUCUGGACCCAGCACUCCGCCCUGCUGUCCAGCUAGGCCACAGCUAACUUUCACUGGCUCCUUGUUUUAUUCCAGGCACUGUUCUAAACACUAUACACAUAUUCAAAUCAUUUGACCUUUCACUGGGUGGCAGGACCUGGGUGAGGGACCAGCCUGGAGUCUGGCCCUUAUCUGGUUGGUCCUGAUGUUGACCUUUCUCAAGAUGCCUAGGAAGGUCAGACAGGCUGGCCCUAACCAUGUCGCUCAAGGUCAAUGCCUCCUCCCAGCACUAUUGUAAGCAACCCCGGGCCGGCUCCCUUUCUGCUGACAGGAGUGCUCUUGUCCCCUCCCCCGUCUCCUUCCCUCCUGGGAGCUGGGUCUCUGGGAAGCUGGGGCCUGGAGGGCCUGGAGUCUGAGCAAAGGGGCGAGGAGGGCUUGUGCAGAGGGCUGUUCACGCAGACCUUGGUGAAACCUGAUGGACUGUCUCCACUCCGCAGAGAAGCCCUCUGGGGACUGGGAUGGGCACGUCCCUCAGACAGUUCUUCCCUUCUGGACAGUGUUGGAUGUGCACACAGCCAAAGUGGGCUUCUCUGGACCUUGGCUCUGCUCUGGACACCUCACUCCUUGCUGGUCCCUGAGGAACAAGCCUUGACAGCAGGUCCUGGAAGACAGCCUUAGACCGGAUUCUGGAAAGGCCUGGCGUCUCUUCCCGAACAGCAGAGCUUCCGCCCAAACGGAACUGCUUAAGUGCAGGAUACAGUAGGAAAUACUCCCCGCCAGGACUCGGGAGCCUGCACCCAGCCCUGCCUAGUUUGUGGAUCGACUCUGUGUGACCUUGGGCCAAUCCCUGCCCUCUCAGUUUCUUCCACUGUAGAAUGAAGACUUGGACUUGACCAAGUGGUUUCCCCGCAGCCUAUCUCAGUCUUUCAGCUUCUCUUGGUCCAGGGCCGUGCCCUCUCCUCCUAAGUAGACCAUACAAUUUAGAAUCAGAGGGCAGGGUUCAAGCUCCCCAAGGUCAUCACUCCCUAGCUGUGUGACCCUGGGCAGGGCACCACACCCCUCUGGGCUCUGCUCCCCCAUGGAAAGACAGAGUUCAGAGAGUGCUCACCCUCUGUGUCUGUGUCUCAGGGCUGCCAUAGGUCACAUGAGAGGUGGACCUCCAAGAUGUCUGGACGAUGCAGAGCGAGGUGUUCUACUGGCCUAUUAACUGCGAGUGCCCCCUGCCUGCCCAGCGCCCAGCUCUGUCCUGGCUCGGGGUCUGGCCCGGGCUUGCAGAUGCAGCCCCUGCCUGCCCGCAGACUAACAGAGCUCUGGCAGGAGGAGUGUGCGGACCCUGGGCCCAGCCCGCUGGAUGAAGUGUCAGUUACUUUGCCCAGGGGGCCUCAGGGCCCAUGACAUCAUGGACAGCACUUUCCAUGUUGGAGCUCACAGAACUAAGGCCAUUUUAAAAAAUAGCACUGCCUUUUUUCCUUUCUUUCUUUUUCCAUUUUGGCUAAGGCAUGGAAUGUGAAAGCUGCUAAAUUAUUGCAGGAAGGAGUAGAGGCUGGGUUCGUAGCUGACUCUGCUUUCUGGGGUCCUAAAAACAAUGGCAAACCCAGGAAGGCUGGCCCUUGCUUCCUCAUGCCCACCUCAACCCCACUGCAGGCUCCCCUGACAAGACCAAGGGGCGGGGGACAAUAAUGACCUGCCCCUGGUUCCCAGAUGACCUCUCUGGACCUCAGCUUGCCAUCUGUUGUGGACUGGAUGUUUGUGUCCCCCCAAAAUUCAUAUGUUGAUGCCCUACCCGCUAGUGUGAUGGUAUUUGGGUGGCGCCUUUGGGAGGUCAUAGGUUUAGAUGAGGUCAUGAGGGUGGGGCCCCCAUGAUGGGAUUAGUGUCUUUCCAAGAAGAGGAAGAGAGACUAGAGGUCUCUCUCUCUCCGUGUCUCUCUCUGCCAGGGCACAAAGAGGUCGUGUGAGCACACAGCAAGAUGGCGGCCCUCUACAAGCCGGGAAGAGGGCUGUCACCGAGACCCAAUCUGCCAGCACCUUGCUCUUGGACCUCCAGCCUCCAGAACUGUCAGAAAUAAAUGUCUGUUGUUCAAGCCA
ensembl:lncRNA